GCGCAUCCGGCCACCGCGGUCUCCGGGGCUGCCCUCGGGCCUGGCUCGCCCGCGGGCGGAUGGCUCCGGGUCUCUGCUGCUGAGGAUGUGGCUGCCGGGCGGAGGUCGUCCACUCCCCUGGGCCUUUCUCCGCGAGCCCUCCCACGCCGCCCGCUCCUCUCCCGGGGCGAAGGGCGGGGACGAGGCGCGCCGAAGCCCCGAGCUGAAGAGAAGGGUGGGGGCAUGAGGGCGCUGGAGUGAGGAACAGAUUGGAGCCUUCCCACUUCCUCUCCAAUCUCAGCCCCCGGGAGGAGGGGUGAGGCCCUCGAGGGGGCCCGGAGUUAAGGAGGAAUAGACCGUUUCUCUCUCUCCUGUCUCCCCCGCCUCUGCCCGUCUUCCCUCUAAGCCGGCCUCUAGGUGCAGAGGCUGACGUCCAGGAUGGGGACCGGGGAAGCCUCUGGAGGGUAUAUCCGGGAAGGCACCAAGGCUGAAGUGAGAGCGGUUCUGGGGAAGGCUUUAAAAAGCAGAUAUGGACCAGGGUAGAGUUCGUACGCUGUAGCUUUUCAAGAACACCGAUCUCAUUAAUUAAAGAACAGCAACUAUUUAAUUCCAGUUAUAAACUAUUGUUUUCCAGUUAGUCUGGAAAGAUGCAGUCUAGCACCUCAGUUAAGAAUAUGGACUCUAAAGUCAGACUGCCAGGCUUCAAAUUCCAGUUCUGCGACCUCAGCAAAGUUACUUAACCAAGCUCUCAGUGCCUUGUUUUCUUCAUCUGUAAAAUGAGGAUGACGUCACAGCAUUGUUGAGAGAAUUAAUACAGGCUCCAGACUUGUGAAUGGAGAAGUGUUGAGGUGACCCCAGCUCCAGCCACCAGCUGACGACAACCAUACCGGAGAUCCUGAGAGCUGCCUAGCUGACCCCAGGCACCCCCCAGACUUCAUGUAAGCUGUUUGAAGCCGAGGACUUUGUCUGUUUUGUUCACUCCCAAUAGAUUCAGCACUUAGAAGAAUGCCAGGCAGGCUUUCCCCACCAACCAAGAUGGAAUAACAGGGAAAAGACAUACCCUUCUAUCUUCAAUAAUUGGAAACCCAGACAAAGUUUAUGAAACGCUGGUUUUCAAGACAUAGGACAUCAGACAAUCAAGGACAGUAAACACUGAGAUGGGAAACAAACAAGGUGAGUACUGCAAUUGCCCAACAUUACUAGCUGGAAAGAGUUUCCCGACCAUGGCAGAGGGAGGAGGAUCCUUUGAGGUUCUGUGGUGUCCCUGAGUUGAGGAGACAAAGUUGAAAUUCCAGAGUGGUCAAGGCAGCUGGAGUUUGUAGAGCAGAGUACCAGAAAGAAAAUAGAUGCACAGAGAGAACCUCAGAGAUCUGCAAAAGAUCUCAGCUCUUCAGCUGUGCACCUAUCAGUACAUGCAUGUGACAAAGCACCCCAAGGCCAGGGGAAGAAUCACCUGAAAGUAUGAAGAGAAGAAUACUUGGAGCAUAUACAAACCAGGAAUAAUUUCAGUUCUCACCAGCCAAAUUGGAAGACCCCAUAGAUAACAGGCAUUAGGUAGAGCAGGGGUCCCCAACCUCCAGGGGCACUGACCAGUACUGUUCAUGGCCUGUUAGGAACUGGGCUGCACAGCAGGAGGUGAGCGGCAGGCUAGCCAGCAAACCUUCAUCUGUAUUUAUAGCUCCCAUCACUUGCAUUACUCCCCAUCACUCCCCAUCACUUGCAUUACCACCUGAGCUCCACCUCCUCUCAGAUCAGCAGCAGCAUUAGAUUCUCAUAGGAGUGUGAACCCUACUGUGAACUGCACAUGCAAGGGAUCUAGGUUGUGCACUGUUUAUGAGAAUCUAAUGCCUGAUGAUCUGAGGUGCAGCUGAGGCAGCAUAGCUAGGAGGUAGGUAUUUUGUUGCUGGGGACUCAUAUCAAAACCCUAUCAGUGAGUGGCAAGUGACAAUUAAGCUGCAUCUGGUGGCAGACUUUAUAGAGGCAAGUGAGUCAAUGUAUUUCAAUUGCACAGCUCUAUCUGGUGGCAAGUUUUAAGUCAGAAUCUGACACUUAAUUUAGUCUGUGCAUGGCCUGCCCAUUAUUUUAUUUACCACUUCUGUCUGUGCCUCUUUGCUGCACUGAACACUUGUCUCAGUCACAGUUUUGGUAAGCCCACAAGCUAACCCUAGCUAAAAUGAGUAAAAAGCAAACGACACUGGAGAGCUUCUUUGAAAAGUCAGAGAGACCCAAUGAUGAGACAGCAGAAGACUCUUAAGACUGCCAACAAAAAGAAAGCUGCACUUAAAAGAAAAUACCAGACUGGGCGUGGUGGCUCACACCUGUAAUCCUAGCACUUUGGGAGGCUGAAGCAGGUGGAUCCCUUGAGGCCAGGAGUUUGAGACCAGCCAAGCCAACAUGGUGA
ensembl:lncRNA MSANTD2-AS1 MSANTD2 antisense RNA 1